GAAUAGCCCUGAUCGAGCGGCAUGUUUGAGCUCUUUUCGUGUUUCGGCGGCGGCAAAGCCGCCGCCGAAACACGAAAAAGCGAGUAGCGAGAGCAGGUUCCCGG
rnacentral:misc_RNA from 1 species